ACAAGAGUAAUAGUAAGUCACACACACAAGAGUAGUAGUAAGUCAUACACACACAAGAAUAGUAGUAAGUCAUACACACAAGAAGGUUUCUAAGGAGAGAGAGCUUCACACUCAAAAAACUUUUGAUCUGGUUGUGUCUUGUAUACCAGAAGAGAAAAGAGGAGAGGAUAAACAUUACUUCUCCACUAGACUCUAAAUACUGUAGCUACAGUAAUUACUGUAGUCUACAAUAAAUAUUAUGGAGAGCGUAGGCUACAUUUAAUGAUCUCAACAACCUGAACCUGACAAUGAUUGGAACUAAAUUGUAACUAUUGGAACUAAAUUGUAACUAUUAAAGCGUAAACAGUGCCAGCAAACAGGACCUCCAUUACUCACUGCCAAAGACUUUCGCUGUGUCUCACUCAAAGACACUGCCAACCUGAAGUCAACCUCUGUGGUGCAAACAACCUGAAGAACGUGCCCAGCCAUUAGCCGCCUAGUUCGUCAAAUUCCUCCAAA
rnacentral:lncRNA from 1 species